rnacentral:tRNA from 1 species
GGACCAUGUACAGUUGGUUAAAGCGCCUGUCUAGUAAACAGGAGAUCCUGGGUUCAAAUCCCAGCAGUGCCU